UGAAGGCGACUUGCUAGCUCUAUUACUGGUCUGAAGGAGACAACAUAUGUGAUUUCUGUAAUCUCACUGAGGCUGCAUGCAACAAUUUUUGGGCUGCACCCUAGUGAUUGCCAAGGGAGACCUCGAGUUGACGGGAAAUAAUUCUUUUGCCAAGUCGGGUAUAAACAGUUGUUUUUUCAUUUUCUGUUGCUGAAGGCUAAACCAACAAUGGUUUUUGCAGCCCGACUCUUUAUGAGGGGGACAUACAAUAGUGGCUAUAGAUUCUAAUGGUUCCCAGUUACAUUUUCUUGGAAUGGUGAUUCUAGAAGAAAUGUUGCCGCAAUAUGGUGUUGUAAAUGAUGCAACUGCAAUUACUCCUCUUGGAUGCUGCUGUUUCUCUUUAUUAACUAUUUUUAUUUUACAAUAUCAUUGAGAUGUAAAAUGGGAUUUAGUGCUUGAUAAUAUGUAAAAUUGGAUUUGGUCUUUGAUAAUA